GCGCGCAUCGCCGCACCGCCCGAACCCCGGGGACAGCCUCGAAUGCACCACGCGUUUUGCGACCAAGGACCAAACUGGGUCCCGCGCGGCGAAAACUUCCGAACCGUGUCAGGUCCUGACGGAAGCAGCACUAAGGAAGACCUUUCGGGCGACGCGGGGAAGCCUGGCUUGGUUCUUGGUCGGAAAGCGCGUUUUUUUGUGUGC
rnacentral:misc_RNA from 1 species